rnacentral:rRNA from 1 species
GUCUUUUUGUAUUUUAUUUAAAGUCUGGCCUGCCCACUGAAUAAUUUUAAAGGCUGCGGUAUUUUGACCGUACAAAGGUAGCAUAAUCAUUAGUUUUUUAAUUGAAAACUCGUAUGAAUGGUUUAACGAAAUAUUAGCUGUUUCAUAAAAAUAAUAAUAGAAAUUAAUUUUUUAGUUAAAAAGCUAAAAUAUAAUUAAAAGACGAGAAGACCCUAUAGAGUUUUAUAUAAAAUUUUUAAAGUUUAUUUAGAAUAGUUUAAAUUUUAUUUUUAUUUAUAUUUUGUUGGGGUGACAAUAAAAUUUUAAUACCUUUUAUUUUUUAUUAACAAUGAUUUUUGAGUAAUUGAUCCACUUUUAGUGAUUAUAAGAUUAAAUUACCUUAGGGAUAACAGCGUAAUUUUUUUGUAGAGUUCUUAUCGAUAAAAAUUUUUGCGACCUCGAUGUUGGAUUAAGAAUAAUAUUGGGUGCAGAAGCUCAAUAAAUUAGGUCUGUUCGACCUUUAAUUUCUU